UACGAAGGGGGCUAGCGUUGCUCGGAAUCACUGGGCGUAAAGCGCACGUAGGCGGAUCUUUAAGUCAGGGGUGAAAUCCUGGAGCUCAACUCCAGAACUGCCUUUGAUACUGGGGAUCUCGGAGUCCGGAAGAGGUGAGUGGAACUCCGAGUGUAGAGGUGAAAUUCGUAGAUAUUCGGAAGAACACCAGUGGCGAAGGGCGGAGCUCGACUGGUCCGGUACGUCGGACGCUGAGGAGCGGAAAGCCAGGGGAA
rnacentral:rRNA from 1 species